rnacentral:rRNA from 1 species
AACCCACAUGGGGUAAUGCUCAUGUAUCCAUAGUUGAACACAUAGACUAUGAGAAGGGAACUCAGUGAACUGAAACAUCUAAGUAACUGGAGGAAAAGAAAUCAAAAGAGAUUCCCAAAGUAGCGGCGAGCGAAAUGGGAAUAGCCUAAACCGAAUAUGUGUUAGUAGCAUGAAGGCGCUGCAUAUUGGGUGUUGUAGGGUUAAUCAUUUGUUACUUCAUUAACAAACGUAAGUCAAAAAAAUCUAUCUUAGCAGAAAAUGUUGGAAAGCAUUACUAUAAAAGGUGAUAGUCCUGUAUGCGAAAAGAUAGGUUCUUGCGGAUUAAUUCCUGAGUACCACGAGACACGAGAAAUCUUGUGGGAAGCUAGGUGGACCAUCAUCUAAGGCUAAAUAUUAUGUAUGACCGAUAGUGAACCAGUACCGUGAGGGAAAGGUGAAAAGAACCCCGGAAGGGGAGUGAAAUAGAACAUGAAACCAUGUGCUUACAAGCAGUCGGAGCUUUCUUUUGAAAGUGACGGCGUGCCUAUUGAAGAAUGUGCCGGCGACUUAAUGUCAGUAGCAAGGUUAAGUUUAAAAUACGGAGCCGCAGCGAAAGCGAGUCUGAAUAGGGCGUUUAGUUACUGGUUUUAGACCCGAAACCUGGUGAUCUAUCCAUGAGCAGGGUGAAGCGAAAGUAACAUUUCGUGGAGGCCCGAACCGUUGUAUGUUGAAAAAUGCUCGGAUGACUUGUGGAUAGUGGUGAAAUGCUAAUCGAACCAGGAGAUAUCUGGCUCUCUCCGAAAUGACUUUAGGGUCAGCCUCGAGAUUUAGUGACGCAGAGGUAGAGCACUGUUUGGGCUAGGGGGAUCACCAAUCCUACCAAACUCAGGCAAACUCCGAAUGCUGCGUUUACAUGCUCGGGAGUGAGACAUAGGGGGCUAAGCUCCUAUGUCAAAAGGGAAACAGCCCAGACCGUCAGCUAAGGUCCCUAAUAUAUGCUAAGUGGNAAAGGNNGUNGAAUUNCUUAAACAACCAGGAGGUUGGCUUAGAAGCAGCCACCCUUUAAAGAAAGCGUAACAGCUCACUGGUCUAGCGAUUCCGCACCGAAAAUGUAACGGGGCUCAAGCAUAUAACCGAAGCUACGGCAACUAGUUUACUAGUUGGGUAGGAGAGCGUUCUGUACUAGGUUGAAGUUUAACUGAAAAGUUAGAUGGACGAAUCAGAAGUGAGAAUGUCGGCAUGAGUAGCGAAAAGAUAAGUGAGAAUCUUAUCCGCCGGAAACCUAAGGUUUCCUGGGGAAGGCUCGUCCUCCCAGGGUUAGUCGGAACCUAAGGCGAGGCCGAAAGGCGUAGUCGAUGGACAACAGGUUAAUAUUCCUGUACUACCGAUAAAUCGUUAUUAGCGAUGGAGUGACGCAGAAGGAUAGGUCAGCCACUUAUUGGAUUGUGGUUUAAGCUUUUAGGCGGGAGAGAUAGGUAAAUCCGUUUCUCCUUAACGCUGAGGAGUGAUGACGAUCUGUUUACAGAGAAGUGAUUGAUUCCGCACUGACAAGAAAAACUUCUAGUGAGAUUUAUAGGUAUCCGUACUAAAACCGACACAGGUAGGUAGGUAGAGAAUACUAAGGCGCGCGAGAUAACCCUCGUUAAGGAACUCGGCAAAUUGACCUCGUAACUUCGGGAGAAGAGGUGCCUCAUUAAUGUGAUAGCCCUGCGGCUUAAGCAUGAAGAGGUUGCAAAAUCCAGGCACAAGCGACUGUUUACCAAAAACACAGGUCUCUGCAAAACCGUAAGGUGAAGUAUAGGGGCUGACGCCUGCCCAGUGCUGGAAGGUUAAUAGGAGGUGUCAAUGUCUUCGGACAUGAAGCACUGAAUUGAAGCCCCAGUGAACGGCGGCCGUAACUAUAACGGUCCUAAGGUAGCGAAAUUCCUUGUCGGGUAAGUUCCGACCCGCACGAAAGGCGUAACGAAUUGUGCACUGUCUCAACGAGGGACUCGGUGAAAUUGGAAUAUCUGUGAAGAUACGGAUUACCUACAGCAGGACAGAAAGACCCCGUGGAGCUUUACUGUAGCUUGGCUCUGUAUUUUGGAUUAUCAUGUGCAGGAUAGGUGGGAGACUAUGAGACUAGGGCGUCAGUCCUAGAGGAGUCACCCUUGAGAUACCACCCUUGAUACUCUGGAAUACUAACUGUUACCCGUUAUCCGGGAACAGGACACAGUCUGGUGGGCAGUUUGACUGGGGCGG